rnacentral:lncRNA from 1 species
GAUGGCCGUUGGAGAAGAAAGCAGCAAUCAGGCAACCAUCGAAAGAGAAAAAGAAGAAAAAUCCAAAAUUUCGAGCGGCCAAGCCAUCAAGGUGCCAAGCAGCACAAGUCCUCAAGGACCGAUGAUGGAGGAUCGAAGGAGGAAACCAGAGAAAACUGCGGGAGGGGAGGGGCUUCAUAGUUCGCUCGACCGCCGUUGGGAAAGAAGCUGCAAGCACUGACUACUAAAGGAGGAGUGGAGGAGCCCCAGCUAAUGUUGGGAGGAAGCACCCGUCGAAGG